rfam:Gossypium raimondii Chr09_contig_1798, whole genome shotgun sequence.
UGUUAAAAAUUUCAUCUAUUUUUACUGUUAAAAAUUGGUGCAAUUGAUAAAAUAAUCAAAUAGUUACAUAUGAUGUGUUAUGUGUACCUCAAUUUGACAUACACAUAUAGGUCUUUAAUAGUAAAAAUGAAUAAAAUUUUUAACA